CCAAGGGUUGGGCUGUUCGCCCAUUAAAGCGGUACGCGAGCUGGGUUCAGAACGUCGUGAGACAGUUCGGUCCCUAUCCGUCGCGGGCGUAGGAAAUUUGAGAAGAGCUGCCCUUAGUACGAGAGGACCGGGGUGGACAUACCGCUGGUGUACCAGUUGUGCCGCCAGGCGCAGAGCUGGGUAGCUAUGUAUGGCAAGGAUAAGCGCUGAAAGCAUCUAAGUGUGAAGCCCCCUUCGAGAUGAGAUUUCCCAUUCCUUUAAGGAAGUAAGACCCCUGAGAGAUGAUCAGGUAGAUAGGCUGGGAGUAGCAGCCCCGUGAGGGGUGGAGCGGACCAGUACUAAUCGGUCGAGGACUUGACCAA
rnacentral:ncRNA from 1 species